rnacentral:tRNA from 1 species
GAGGGUUUAGCUCAGUGGUAUAAGCACCUGCUUGGCAAACAUGAGGUUGUGAGUUCGAUUCUUUGAUCCCCCA